rnacentral:rRNA from 1 species
UGCAGUCGAGCGACGGACGAGAAGCUUGCUUCUCUGAUGUUAGCGGCGGACGGGUGAGUAACACGUGGAUAACCUACCUAUAAGACUGGGAUAACUUCGGGAAACCGGAGCUAAUACCGGAUAAUAUUUUGAACCGCAUGGUUCAAAAGUGAAAGACGGUCUUGCUGUCACUUAUAGAUGGAUCCGCGCUGCAUUAGCUAGUUGGUAAGGUAACGGCUUACCAAGGCAACGAUGCAUAGCCGACCUGAGAGGGUGAUCGGCCACACUGGAACUGAGACACGGUCCAGACUCCUACGGGAGGCAGCAGUAGGGAAUCUUCCGCAAUGGGCGAAAGCCUGACGGAGCAACGCCGCGUGAGUGAUGAAGGUCUUCGGAUCGUAAAACUCUGUUAUUAGGGAAGAACAUAUGUGUAAGUAACUGUGCACAUCUUGACGGUACCUAAUCAGAAAGCCACGGCUAACUACGUGCCAGCAGCCGCGGUAAUACGUAGGUGGCAAGCGUUAUCCGGAAUUAUUGGGCGUAAAGCGCGCGUAGGCGGUUUUUUAAGUCUGAUGUGAAAGCCCACGGCUCAACCGUGGAGGGUCAUUGGAAACUGGAAAACUUGAGUGCAGAAGAGGAAAGUGGAAUUCCAUGUGUAGCGGUGAAAUGCGCAGAGAUAUGGAGGAACACCAGUGGCGAAGGCGACUUUCUGGUCUGUAACUGACGCUGAUGUGCGAAAGCGUGGGGAUCAAACAGGAUUAGAUACCCUGGUAGUCCACGCCGUAAACGAUGAGUGCUAAGUGUUAGGGGGUUUCCGCCCCUUAGUGCUGCAGCUAACGCAUUAAGCACUCCGCCUGGGGAGUACGACCGCAAGGUUGAAACUCAAAGGAAUUGACGGGGACCCGCACAAGCGGUGGAGCAUGUGGUUUAAUUCGAAGCAACGCGAAGAACCUUACCAAAUCUUGACAUCCUUUGACAACUCUAGAGAUAGAGCUUUCCCCUUCGGGGGACAAAGUGACAGGUGGUGCAUGGUUGUCGUCAGCUCGUGUCGUGAGAUGUUGGGUUAAGUCCCGCAACGAGCGCAACCCUUAAGCUUAGUUGCCAUCAUUAAGUUGGGCACUCUAAGUUGACUGCCGGUGACAAACCGGAGGAAGGUGGGGAUGACGUCAAAUCAUCAUGCCCCUUAUGAUUUGGGCUACACACGUGCUACAAUGGACAAUACAAAGGGCAGCGAAACCGCGAGGUCAAGCAAAUCCCAUAAAGUUGUUCUCAGUUCGGAUUGUAGUCUGCAACUCGACUACAUGAAGCUGGAAUCGCUAGUAAUCGUAGAUCAGCAUGCUACGGUGAAUACGUUCCCGGGUCUUGUACACACCGCCCGUCACACCACGAGAGUUUGUAACACCCGAAGCCGGUGGAGUAA